AAACGUGGUUGGCCAAAUUGUGGCAAUUGUUCGUUGUGCAACCAAGUUUCGGAGUUGGUGUCACACCUACUCUUUCAAUGUAGGUUCUCCAUAAUGGUGUGGAUCAUGGUGCGUGACUGGCUUCAGCUUGAAGGGUUACACCCAAAUACUUUUGGGUUCGAAGAUGUCCAAUCUUGGUGGUACGCCAUGGUUCAUGACGGCUUUGGACGUCGUAAGGCCAUGGCUUCUACUACAAUGCUUGUGUCUUGGGAGAUAUGGAACGAGUGCAACACAAGAAUCUUCAACAACAAAUUCGCCAGGUCGGCAGUAAUCAUGGCCAAAAUCCAGUGCGGGGCGAAGAAUUGGGGGUUGGCAGGCGCAACCCAUUUGUGUAAUCUUAUGUCGGGAGAGUAG
rnacentral:rRNA from 1 species